AUUGAACGCUGGCGGCAGGCUUAACACAUGCAAGUCGAACGAGUGGCGGACGGGUGAGUAAUGCUUGGGAAUCUAGCUUAUGGAGGGGGUUAACUACGGGAAACUGUAGCUAAUACCGCGUACCAUAGGAUGAGCCCAAGUGGGAUUGGGUAGUUGGUGAGGUAAAGGCUCACAAAGCCGACGAUCCCUAGCUGGUCUGAGAGGAUGACCAGCCACACUGGAACUGAGACACGGUCCAGACUCCUACGGGAGGCAGCAGGGGGGAAUAUUGGACAAUGGGCGAAAGCCUGAUGCAGCCAUGCCGCGUGUAUGAAGAAGGCCUUCGGGUUGUAAAGUACUUUAAGCGGGGAGGCGUUACUCGCAGAAGAAGCACCGGCUAACUCCGUGCCAGCAGCCGCGGUAAUUC
rnacentral:rRNA from 1 species